rnacentral:lncRNA from 1 species
AGUUAGGAGAAUAUGGAGAAGUCAAAAAGCAGUUUCACGUACAAACAGAGUUUUGGAAGAAAAACUAAGAGAAGAGCCAAAGGAGAGAAUUUGAUUCUGUAGAGCUUUGUUCUUCAAUCUAAGGUAAGGGUGGGAUUAGCAUCCAAUUUUCUUAAGUCUAUAAUUCUGAUGAUUAACUUUAACAAGUUCUAGGAUUAGUUUUUGAAAAAUUGGGGAAUUAGGUUAAAAGUUAGGGGGUUAGAUACUUAUUCUCAUAAUCAUUUUCUUCUUGUUCUAGCUUGUGAUUAAUUGUUGAAUUGAUGAAUUCAUGAUGGGUGUUCUUACUAUGUUAAUGGGUUAUAAAUUCAUACGUUUCUUGUAGUUUAUUUUGAUGAACCCUUAUUUGAAUUCGGAGCUUCAUGUUUUUUUCGAAGAAUCCGUCGAUCAAAGUUCUUUUUAUUUUUAAUGUUAUCCUGUUUUGAUACAUGAAUGUUUUUGUUCUCAACAACUUUAGACCACCGGUGCUUUAGAUUCCAAUUGGUUACCUCAUACAUAAGUUGUUUUCUUUUGGUUUUGGAAUACCUCUUACGUGAGUGUUUUUGGGUUCUCAUAAAUUUCAAUCAUAGUGAAUAAUUAUCCUAGUAUUGGUUCUUUUUCUUUAUUCCGGUAAAUCGAUGUUCACUCACCACCCGAGUUAUCCCAUGUGAUUGUUGCUUUCAUAAUUGCUACAUGUCCCAUUGGAAGUUAAAUUAGAUGGGAUAUCUCUAGUCUUCAGUUUUUGUGUUCUUAUGUAUUGGUUCUGUGACAUCUUCAUUAGGACUAAUAUUCUACUAGAUUUUCAAUAAAUCAUUGAUGUAUUUGUUUUGUGAAUCGAUGCACAUUGUUUAACAGGAGACCACUAUGAAUAACUUUUUACUUUUUGAGAAUGAGAAAUUGAAUUAAAUUCAAAUCAUAUAUGUCCAUAAAUUUUUGGAACCGUAACACUAUUUUGAGGGAAUGGCUAUAUGCAAUUUUUUUAUGGAGUACUUGUUUUCAUAUUUUGAAUUCUUUUGCUAUAUUUGUGUGCAUAGUUAUAAAUUUGGGCAUAUGAAUCUUAUACCUUCUUAAUAGUAGUUAUGAGCUAUUAUUAUUGCUCCCUGUUAUGUAAGAACUUCCUUCCACUAGUUAACAAAUACAUGUAUAUAAAUUGAGUUUAUAUGAUAUAGGACCCAUUGGGAAUGCGUAUAAUGCUUAGUUUCUAGAGUGCAUGGAAUUGUUUUAUUUCUUGUCUCAUUCGGACCUUAGCACUGAUAUGCCAUGCCUACUUUGAAUUAUAAUAUUCUUAUAUUUGGCUUGUUGAUCUUGUGAGAGUAUAUUAUAAUUUUCAUAGUGAUUUUAAGUUAAUUGUGUUCACGAUGAUAUGAUAGAAUAAGAACGAAUCAAAGUUGUAUUUGAGUUGAAACCAUUUGAGUUGUCUAUGUUGUAUUUUAAGUUAUUGAAACCAUUUGAGUUGCCUAUGUUGUAGUUGAGUUGUAUGCUGAUAUACACAAAGUUGAGUCCAUUUCAUAAUUAGGAACUGUUGAGGGCUCAUGCCCUGGAAUGUUAAGCAUUCAACCGUUGAGGGCUUAUGCCCUAGAAUGCCUUGUCAUUCAAUCUGUUGAGGGCUCAUGCCCUGGAAUGUUCAUCUUUCAAAUUGUUGGGGGCUUAUGCCCCGGAAUGCUUAGUCAUUCAACCCGUUGAAAUGGUACCACAUGCCCUUAGAUGUUGUUGUUGUUGUUGAUUAUGUCGUUGUAGUGGUCGUUGAUGGUGUUAUUGUCGUUGUGGUGGAUUGUGUCGUUGUAGUAGUUGUCGAUUGAGUUGUUGUUGUCGUCGUUGGUUGAUUUAGUAAGUGUUAUUAAAGUUGAAGAAGUAUGAAUAUCAUUGUUGAAUAUAUGUUGUUAAUUAUGAUAUUUAAUUAAGUGAUUAAAUGCAGUUGAUGGUUAUAUAUAUCUAUUAUUAUUGUUUGUGAAUCUCACCCCUUCUGCUUGGAAAUGUUGCCCUGUAUGGGUAACUUGCAGGUAAUGAAGAUGAGUAGGAGUGGUGGCUCAAAGUGUCUGGGGCUCUGAUACGUAACGGGAUGGGAAAUUGUUGUCAUGUUUUCAUUCCUUAUGUUUCAUUAUGAACCUAUUGAUGUUGAUUUUAAUCUUUAAAGAUAUUUUUGUUGAGGCCAAGUGCCAAAGAUUUAUUGGAAGUUGUUUAACGUUGAAAAACAUUUCCGCUGCGAUGACUGUUAUGAUUUGACAGAACUAUUAUGAAUAAAUAAUAUUUUAUUCUAUUUUAAGACUUUUUGAAAAGCAGUGUAACACUCUGUUGUUGAUUUAACUCUGAUUUUAUUUAUUAAUAUAACUGUUGGGAAGUCGGGGUGUUACAGCAUAACCCGGAAAAUCCUCUCAAUCUCCUUAAGCCACGUCUGGGCUCCAUCAGGGUCAUAAUGUCCUUUGAAAGUUGGAGGGUUCUUCUUCAUGAAAGUCUCCAACAUCCUAG